rnacentral:rRNA from 1 species
AUGCACGCUGGCGGCGUGCCUAAUACAUGCAAGUCGAGCGAACAGAUGAGGAGCUUGCUCCUCUGACGUUAGCGGCGGACGGGUGAGUAACACGUGGGUAACCUACCUAUAAGACUGGGAUAACUUCGGGAAACCGGAGCUAAUACCGGAUAAUAUAUUGAACCGCAUGGUUCAAUAGUGAAAGACGGUUUUGCUGUCACUUAUAGAUGGAUCCGCGCCGCAUUAGCUAGUUGGUAAGGUAACGGCUUACCAAGGCAACGAUGCGUAGCCGACCUGAGAGGGUGAUCGGCCACACUGGAACUGAGACACGGUCCAGACUCCUACGGGAGGCAGCAGUAGGGAAUCUUCCGCAAUGGGCGAAAGCCUGACGGAGCAACGCCGCGUGAGUGAUGAAGGUCUUCGGAUCGUAAAACUCUGUUAUUAGGGAAGAACAAAUGUGUAAGUAACUAUGCACGUCUUGACGGUACCUAAUCAGAAAGCCACGGCUAACUACGUG